rnacentral:sRNA from 2 species
UUUUUUUUUAACUGGGAAUAAUACCUUUAGCCUAAGUCAUACGGGGGAACCAUAUUUUGGGGUGAAUCGCUUUUUGCGUAGGUUUUGCCUUUACCAAACCCGUCAGCUAACCUCGUAUAAUAAAAGGAGGAAAGAA